rnacentral:rRNA from 2 species
AAUACAUGCAAGUCGAGCGGACUUUAAAGCUUGCUUUUAAAGUUAGCGGCGGACGGGUGAGUAACACGUGGGCAACCUGCCUGUAAGACUGGGAUAACUUCGGGAAACCGGAGCUAAUACCGGAUAAUCCUUUUCCUCUCAUGAGGAAAAGCUGAAAGACGGCAUCUCGCUGUCACUUACAGAUGGGCCCGCGGCGCAUUAGCUAGUUGGUGAGGUAACGGCUCACCAAGGCAACGAUGCGUAGCCGACCUGAGAGGGUGAUCGGCCACACUGGGACUGAGACACGGCCCAAACUCCUACGGGAGGCAGCAGUAGGGAAUCUUCCGCAAUGGACGAAAGUCUGACGGAGCAACGCCGCGUGAGUGAUGAAGGUUUUCGGAUCGUAAAGCUCUGUUGUUAGGGAAGAACAAGUACAAGAGUAACUGCUUGUACCUUGACGGUACCUAACCAGAAAGCCACGGCUAACUACGUGCCAGCAGCCGCGGUAAUACGUAGGUGGCAAGCGUUGUCCGGAAUUAUUGGGCGUAAAGCGCGCGCAGGCGGUCCUUUAAGUCUGAUGUGAAAGCCCACGGCUCAACCGUGGAGGGUCAUUGGAAACUG